AUGAGUGAGAGAAGCCAUGGGGGUGUGACCAAUCCCUUACUUGGGUAUCUUGUGUCUGCAGAUGUCCAGUGUGAGAUGAAGCUAGUGGAGUCUGGGGGAGACCUGGUGAAGCCUGGAGGGUCCCUGAGACUCUCCUGUGCAGCCUCUGGAUUCACCUUCAGUAGCUAUGGCAUGACCUGGGUCUGCCAGGAUCCAGGGAAGGGGCCGCAGUGGGUCGCAGGUAUUUGGAUUGAUGGAAGUUUCACAAGCUAUGCAGACUCUGUGAAGGGCCGAUUCACCAUCUCCAGAGACAAUGGCAAGAACACGCUGUAUCUUCAGAUGAACAGCCUGAGAUCCAAGGACAUGGACGUGUAUUAUUGUGCGAGAGACACAGUGAGGGGACAUCAGUGUGAGCCCAGACAUAAACCUCAAACUACAAGAGUAUCAGACCAUCAGAGGGUACACAUUACUCACCAAUUAUGUCUUUAA